ACUUACGGCCAUACCACCCUGAGAACGCCCGAUCUCGUCUGAUCUCGGAAGCUAAGCAGGGUCGGGCCUGGUUAGUACUUGGAUGGGAGACCACCUGGGAAUACCCGGUGCUGUAAGCU
ensembl:rRNA 5S_rRNA 5S ribosomal RNA